UCUGCCUCCCAAGUGCUGGGAAUAAAGGUGUGAGCCACCACUGCCCGGCUUACUUUUCUUUUACUUGUUAUUUCCUCUUACUGGUUUUUGUCUCGUUUUUAGAAUGUUUGUUGAGAGAGUAUCCCUAUGUAGCUCUGGCUAGUCAGGAACUGGUAGCCUCAAACUCAACUGCCUCUACCUCCUGAGUACUUCAUAAAGGUCUGCACCACCAUGCCCAGAUCAAUUUUAAAAUGUAUUCAUAGUAAUGCUCAUAGCUCCAGUUUUUAAAUCUAAAAUACUUCUGUUCCCCACUUUUAUGUGAAAAAACUAACUAUGUAAAUGGUUCACUGUGACACUUAAAUAAUCAUGUUAAUGAAUAAUUAUGACAGCCACCACACAAAGGCAGUGCCAUUAUUUCUGUUUCAUGAAUAAAAUGACUCAAAAAGGGUCAUGUAAGUAGAUGAACUCAAGAUUUUUUUAAAAGAUGUAUUUAUUUUAUGUAUAUGAGUACAAUGUCGCUGUCUUCAGACACACCAGAAGAAGGUAUCAGAUCCUAUUACAGAUUGCUGGGACUUGAACUCAGGACCUCUGGAAGAGCAGUAAGUGCUCUUAACGGCUGAGCCAUCUCAUCAGCCCCAGCCAGUGCUCUUAAGCACUGAGUCACCUCUCCAGCCCUGAACUCAAGUUUUUAUAGACCUAAAGUCACAAAAUUCCUUCCCUCUUUAUCUUACUGAACAUUUUAAGAUAUAACUUAAUUAACUUUGGUGGCCAACAUUCUGUAUUUUGAAUUCCUUCUGUCCCAUCUUCACCGAGUACACAAAUACAGAGUUUUUUAGUUAUUGCAAAAAGGCAGGAUGAGGAGACGGCUUUGGGGGUAAACAGUUCACCAUGCAUUCAUGAGGGCCCGAGUUUGCAUUCUCAAUACUUAAGUAAAGAGCUGGAUGUGAGAGCAUUCCUGAAACCCCCGUGCUGGCAAGCAGGAACAGAGGCCAGCAGCUUGUGAUUGGGGAAAACACCUGAGCACAUCUGGCCUAUAUGUAUGUACGUACGUGUACACACACACACACACACACACACACACACACACACACACACACAAAGCAGCGUGACUCGAUUUAGUAGGUCAUGCUGUUUCUCCAGCUUCUACAUUCAAGGCAAGAAUAAAAAUGAAUUCUUGAAAACUGUUUCAGAUUUUUCCAAUUGUCAAAUGAUUCAAUGUGAAGUAUAAAAAAGUGUUUAUGUUAUGAAGUAGGUAAAAUUUAAUGUCUGGCAGAGAAGUCUCCAGUUGCUGGCCCCUCAGUAGUACUAGAAUCCCUUUUUAUUGUUCUGUUUUCUUGAGACAGGGUCUCACUUUGUAGCAUUACCUAUCCUGUAAUUUGUUAUGUAGACCAGGCUAGCCAGGAAAAAGAGAUCUACCUGCCUCCACCUUCCAAGUGCUGGGAUUUAAAGCCAUGACAUCUAUCUAGAAUAUUUUUAUUGUAGAAGAUUGAAAAGAUUAUAAACCUAACAGCAUUAUAUGUGAAGACAGAAAUACAAUAUAAAAGGAUGUGCCCAAGACCACAUACAUAGCUACUUAGAGGACACACUGUGACAUUUAACUGGUCCUGGGCUCAAGAUCUCAGAAUAGUCUUUCUUCUAGUUCAGCAGCAGUUUCUUCUGAUAUUGAAACAUUCAUCCUACAGCGAAGUUUCUUAAACAAGAAGAUGAACAAUUUAAUUUAAAUUAGCUCCAGGAAGUACCUGAAACUGACCAGAUUCACUAGACCCCUCCAGCCCAAGAGUAAUCAAUAAAGAUGGCCGAGCAUCUUCUCAGACAAGCCAAGAAUUGUUGCGGGAUUAAAAUCAAGGAAGACUGAGACCAGACCAGCAGCCUGGAAGAGGUUUACACCAGCUUUGUCACUUGGAAAGGACACUCUCCAACUUGUUGAGCUGCCUGCAGGUUGUGCAGCAUGCUCCAGGUUCCCAGCUAUGUGAGCUGUCACCUGUGCAGGGGUGGGCUUUGGUAAUGCAGCUGUCUGCGAGUUAUUUCUGCUCCUAUAAGUAACCUCUCGUCUAUGUAUUCACAUAAGGGACCCUGGUGAGACUCAUGGUUCACCAAGUUGGACUUCGGUGGUACCUGUCUUUUGGUCUGUUGUGGGCUCCCUCUCUGAGAGUAGACGUGUGUUGCAUAUCCCCAGGAAACAUCUUGUCACACAACAUUAAGAAUCUAAGAUGAAGAGACUGGUUGAUAACAUGUCCAAGUUAUCAUAGCUUGUUAGUGACAGAGCCUAUUCCAGGAAACAAAAUCACAAGUUCUACAAACCAUCCGUACUGUCCUUCCUACAUAUAUAAAUUGUCCCUGCCGCCAUUUUUCUAAUGUUUUCAUUAAAUAAAGCCAACAUAUG
rnacentral:lncRNA from 1 species